UAGCGAAAGUUACGCUAAUACCGCAUACGAUCUAAGGAUGAAAGCAGGGGACCGCAAGGCCUUGUGCUCCUGGAGCGGCCGAUAUCUGAUUAGCUAGUUGGUAGGGUAAAGGCCUACCAAGGCUUCGAUCAGUAGCUGGUCUGAGAGGACGACCAGCCACACUGGAACUGAGACACGGUCCAGACUCCUACGGGAGGCAGCAGUGGGGAAUUUUGGACAAUGGGCGCAAGCCUGAUCCAGCAAUGCCGCGUGAGUGAAGAAGGCCUUCAGGUUGUAAAGCUCUUUUGUCAGGGAAGAAACGGUGGGGGCUAAUAUCCUCCACUAAUGACGGUACCUGAAGAAUAAGCACCGGCUAACUACGUGCCAGCAGCCGCGGUAAUACGUAGGGUGCAAGCGUUAAUCGGAAUUACUGGGCGUAAAGCGUGCGCAGGCGGUUUUGUAAGUCUGAUGUGAAAUCCCCGGGCUCAACCUGGGAAUUGCAUUGGAGACUGCAAGGCUAGAAUCUGGCAGAGGGGGGUAGAAUUCCACGUGUAGCAGUGAGAUGCGUAGAGAUGUGGAGGAACACCGAUGGCGAAGGCAGCCCCCUGGGUCAAGAUUGACGCUCAUGCACGAAAGCGUGGGGAGCAAACAGGAUUAGAUACCCUGGUAGUCCACGCCCUAAACGAUGUCUACUAGUUGUCGGGUUUUAAUUAACUUGGUAACGCAGCUAACGCGUGAAGUAGACCGCCUGGGGAGUACGGUCGCAAGAUUAAAACUCAAAGGAAUUGACGGGGACCCGCACAAGCGGU
rnacentral:rRNA from 1 species